rnacentral:rRNA from 1 species
CCUACGGGAGGCAGCAGUGGGGAAUAUUGGGCAAUGGGCGCAAGCCUGACCCAGCAACGCCGCGUGAAGGAAGAAGGCUCUCGGGUUGUAAACUUCUUUUUUCAGGGACGUAGCAAGUGACGGUACCUGAGGAAUAAGCCACGGCUAACUACGUGCCAGGAGCAGCGGUAAUACGUCGGCGGCAAGCGUUAUCCGGAUUUACUGGGUGUAAAGGGUGUGUAGGCGGGGAGGUAAGUCAGAUGUGAAAACCACGGGCUCAACCUGUGGCCUGCAGUUGAAACUGGGUUUCUUGAGUACUGGAGAGGCAGACGGAAUUCGUGGUGUAGCGGUGAAAUGCGUAGAUAUUAGGAGGAACACCAAUGGCGAAGGCAGUCUGCUGGACAGCAACUGACGCUGAGGCGCGAAAGCGUGGGGAGCAAACAGGAUUAGAUACCCGUGUAGUC